rnacentral:rRNA from 1 species
GAUGAACGCUGGCGGCGUGCCUAAUACAUGCAAGUCGAGCGAACGGACGAGAAGCUUGCUUCUCUGAUGUUAGCGGCGGACGGGUGAGUAACACGUGGAUAACCUACCUAUAAGACUGGGAUAACUUCGGGAAACCGGAGCUAAUACCGGAUGAUAUUUUGAACCGCAUGGUUCAAAAGUGAAAGACGGUCUUCCUGUCACUUAUACAUGGAUCCGCGCUGCAUUAGCUAGUUGGUAAGGUAACGGCUUACCAAGGCAACGAUGCAUAGCCGACCUGAGAGGGUGAUCGGCCACACUGGAACUGAGACACGGUCCAGACUCCUACGGGAGGCAGCAGUAGGGAAUCUUCCGCAAUGGGCGAAAGCCUGACGGAGCAACGCCGCGUGAGUGAUGAAGGCCUUCGGAUCGUAAAACUCUGUUAUUAGGGAAGAACAUAUGUGUAAGUAACUGUGCACAUCUUGACGGUACCUAAUCAGAAAGCCACGGCUAACUACGUG